CUCCGUAGCCCCCAGUCCCACGUGGCUAGGGCUUACGGAACUCUUACCCUACCCCCACCCCAUGUCCUAAAUCACUGGACGUCAGACUGGUGCCCCUGGAGGUGUUCAGGCGUGGUCUGGCCCGCCAGCCACAUGACCUGGUGGGAUGUCCUGGAGGUGACUUCACAUGCCCCCUGCGCCUGAGCCCCGCGGCUGGCCUGCGCCAGUGGCCCAGUUUGGAAGACAACUGAUAUAUUCACCCUCCUUCGGGGGUCAAGGAGGAGAAAGCAUCCGGGAGGAGGAAACACAGGUGUAAAAUACCACGGAAAGAACAAGGAAGCGGUGUUUGCAAUGUGGUCUGCUGGAGUUGAGUUUGGCAAACUGCUGACUUUGAGAGAGGUUUCUGAGGAAAGAAGUGGAUUGUCAGUAUGGCAGCCUAUGAGUCAAGUGAAGAAGCCCAUGAAAAUAUUUUAUGCUGCCAAUUUUGGCCAGCUUGUACGGACAACUGACUGAUAACUUGCGGUAUGGACUGGAAGCAAGAAUUUAGGGUAGGCAUGGAUGGGCUGAAGCUCUGGCUGGCAACAUGAGAAAUCUGUCUCCAUAUUCAAGCUGUUACCGCAAAGCUGUGUCUCCUCAGUGCCCUUAUAUACAAAGAAACCGUUGCCCUCCAGAAUGCGUGUGCAGAUUUAAGACAAGUACUUAAUGAAGCUGAUAAACUUGUCAAUCAUGUCACAAGCAGGCAGUUCAAUAAAGACCUGACCUGUUUUCUUGGCUGAGUGAAGAGACGGGUGGUGACUACAAAGAACCACUGUUUCAAAUGAAAGCUCAUUGUCUUUUGAUUAGAAAAGUUUUUACUCUACCGAGUUAUAAGGGGAACUUUAUUUUUUCAGAGAAAACUUUCCUUUGGUGAGAUAGUAUAGCAGGGUGGGCGUGGCUUACAAGUUAGUCUGUGUGCUCAUCUCAACUCCUGUAUAUGCUGUUACCAGGCAAGUGUAUGAGGAGUCGGCCAUGGACACCCGGGAGAUGCAUUGGCAGAAACCUGGCCCCGUCUGGCAGAGACUUCGAUCCUGGGACUUGAGGUUUUUGCUGUUGCCUGAAAGACCUGGUUUUUAACUCAUCUGAAAAUAGGAGGAGACAUUUAGACGACUUAAUAAAAAGGCCAAGGAGUCAAACUGGAA